rnacentral:rRNA from 1 species
GACGAACGCUGGCGGCGUGCUUAACACAUGCAAGUCGAACGAUGAAGCCUAGCUUGCUAGGUGGAUUAGUGGCGAACGGGUGAGUAAUACGUGAGUAACCUACCUUUAACUCUGGGAUAAGCCUGGGAAACUGGGUCUAAUACCGGAUACGACCAAUCUCCGCAUGGGGUGUUGGUGGAAAGCGUUAUGUAGUGGUUAUAGAUGGGCUCACGGCCUAUCAGCUUGUUGGUGAGGUAACGGCUCACCAAGGCGACGACGGGUAGCCGGCCUGAGAGGGUGACCGGCCACACUGGGACUGAGACACGGCCCAGACUCCUACGGGAGGCAGCAGUGGGGAAUAUUGCACAAUGGGCGCAAGCCUGAUGCAGCGACGCCGCGUGAGGGAUGACGGCCUUCGGGUUGUAAACCUCUGUUAGCAGGGAAGAAGAGAAAUUGACGGUACCUGCAGAGAAAGCGCCGGCUAACUACGUGCCAGCAGCCGCGGUAAUACGUAGGGCGCGAGCGUUGUCCGGAAUUAUUGGGCGUAAAGAGCUUGUAGGCGGUUUGUCGCGUCUGCUGUGAAGGCCGGGGCUUAACCCCGUGUAUUGCAGUGGGUACGGGCAGACUAGAGUGCAGUAGGGGAGACUGGAAUUCCUGGUGUAGCGGUGGAAUGCGCAGAUAUCAGGAGGAACACCGAUGGCGAAGGCAGGUCUCUGGGCUGUAACUGACGCUGAGAAGCGAAAGCAUGGGGAGCGAACAGGAUUAGAUACCCUGGUAGUCCAUGCCGUAAACGUUGGGCACUAGGUGUGGGGGACAUUCCACGUUUUCCGCGCCGUAGCUAACGCAUUAAGUGCCCCGCCUGGGGAGUACGGCCGCAAGGCUAAAACUCAAAGAAAUUGACGGGGGCCCGCACAAGCGGCGGAGCAUGCGGAUUAAUUCGGUGCAACGCGAAGAACCUUACCAAGGCUUGACAUAUACUGGACCGCAUCAGAGAUGGUGUUUCCCUUCGGGGCUGGUAUACAGGUGGUGCAUGGUUGUCGUCAGCUCGUGUCGUGAGAUGUUGGGUUAAGUCCCGCAACGAGCGCAACCCUCGUUCUAUGUUGCCAGCACGUUAUGGUGGGGACUCAUAGGAGACUGCCGGGGUCAACUCGGAGGAAGGUGGGGAUGACGUCAAAUCAUCAUGCCCCUUAUGUCUUGGGCUUCACGCAUGCUACAAUGGCCGGUACAGAGGGUUGCGAUACUGUGAGGUGGAGCUAAUCCCUAAAAGCCGGUCUCAGUUCGGAUUGGGGUCUGCAACUCGACCCCAUGAAGUCGGAGUCGCUAGUAAUCGCAGAUCAGCAACGCUGCGGUGAAUACGUUCCCGGGCCU